GACAGCAGUCGCCGCGGUAAUACCAGCAGCCCAAGUGGUGGUCGCGCUUAUUGGGCCUAAAGCGCUCGUAGCCUGGCCGGUAAGUUCCCCGUGAAAUCGGGUCGCCCAACGAUUCGGCUUGCGGGGAAUACUGUCGGUCUUGGGGCCGGGAGACGCCGAGGGUACUCCGGGGGUAGCGGUGAAAUGCUGUAAUCCUCGGGGGACUACCAGUGGCGAAGGCGCUCGGCGAUAACGGGCCUGACGGUGAGGGGCGAAAGCUGGGGGCGCGAACGGGAUUAGAUACCCCCGUAGUCCCUGUCUCUUAUA
rnacentral:rRNA from 1 species